rnacentral:rRNA from 1 species
AGAUUGAACGCUAGCGGGAUGCUUUACACAUGCAAGUCGAACGGCAGCGCGGACUUCGGUCUGGCGGCGAGUGGCGAACGGGUGAGUAAUAUAUCGGAACGUGCCCAGUAGCGGGGGAUAACUACGCGAAAGCGUGGCUAAUACCGCAUACGCCCUACGGGGGAAAGGGGGGGAUCGCAAGACCUCUCACUAUUGGAGCGGCCGAUAUCAGAUUAGCUAGUUGGUGAGGUAAAGGCUCACCAAGGCGACGAUCUGUAGCUGGUUUGAGAGGACGACCAGCCGCACUGGGACUGAGACACGGCCCAGACUCCUACGGGAGGCAGCAGUGGGAAUUUGGACAAGUGGGGAAACCUGAUCCAGCCAUCCCGCGUGUGCGAUGAACGGUCCGUUCGGGUUCGUAA